rnacentral:rRNA from 1 species
CCUGGCUCAGGACGAACGCUGGCGGCGCGCCUAACACAUGCAAGUCGAACGAGCAAGAGAGAGCUUGCUUUCUCGAGCGAGUGGCGAACGGGUGAGUAACGCGUGAGGAACCUGCCUCAAAGAGGGGGACAACAGUUGGAAACGACUGCUAAUACCGCAUAAGCCCACGGGUCGGCAUCGACCAGAGGGAAAAGGAGCAAUCCGCUUUGAGAUGGCCUCGCGUCCGAUUAGCUAGUUGGUGAGGUAAUGGCCCACCAAGGCGACGAUCGGUAGCCGGACUGAGAGGUUGAACGGCCACAUUGGGACUGAGACACGGCCCAGACUCCUACGGGAGGCAGCAGUGGGGAAUAUUGCACAAUGGGGGAAACCCUGAUGCAGCGACGCCGCGUGGAGGAAGAAGGUCUUCGGAUUGUAAACUCCUGUUGUUGGGGAAGAUAAUGACGGUACCCAACAAGGAAGUGACGGCUAACUACGUGCCAGCAGCCGCGGUAAAACGUAGGUCACAAGCGUUGUCCGGAAUUACUGGGUGUAAAGGGAGCGCAGGCGGGAAGACAAGUUGGAAGUGAAAUCUAUGGGCUCAACCCAUAAACUGCUUUCAAAACUGUUUUUCUUGAGUAGUGCAGAGGUAGGCGGAAUUCCCGGUGUAGCGGUGGAAUGCGUAGAUAUCGGGAGGAACACCAGUGGCGAAGGCGGCCUACUGGGCACCAACUGACGCUGAGGCUCGAAAGUGUGGGUAGCAAACAGGAUUAGAUACCCUGGUAGUCCACACCGUAAACGAUGAUUACUAGGUGUUGGAGGAUUGACCCCUUCAGUGCCGCAGUUAACACAAUAAGUAAUCCACCUGGGGAGUACGACCGCAAGGUUGAAACUCAAAGGAAUUGACGGGGGCCCGCACAAGCAGUGGAGUAUGUGGUUUAAUUCGACGCAACGCGAAGAACCUUACCAAGUCUUGACAUCCCUUGACAGGCAUAGAAAUGUGUUUUCUCUUCGGAGCAAGGAGACAGGUGGUGCAUGGUUGUCGUCAGCUCGUGUCGUGAGAUGUUGGGUUAAGUCCCGCAACGAGCGCAACCCUUAUGGUCAGUUACUACGCAAGAGGACUCUGGCCAGACUGCCGUUGACAAAACGGAGGAAGGUGGGGAUGACGUCAAAUCAUCAUGCCCUUUAUGACUUGGGCUACACACGUACUACAAUGGCGUUAAACAAAGAGAAGCAAGACCGCGAGGUGGAGCAAAACUCAGAAACAACGUCCCAGUUCGGACUGCAGGCUGCAACUCGCCUGCACGAAGUCGGAAUUGCUAGUAAUCGUGGAUCAGCAUGCCACGGUGAAUACGUUCCCGGGCCUUGUACACACCGCC